GACGAACGCUGGCGGCGUGCUUAACACAUGCAAGUCGAACGGAAAGGCCCUGCUUUUGUGGGGUGCUCGAGUGGCGAACGGGUGAGUAACACGUGAGUAACCUGCCCUUGACUUUGGGAUAACUUCAGGAAACUGGGGCUAAUACCGGAUAGGAGCUCCUGCUGCAUGGUGGGGGUUGGAAAGUUUCGGCGGUUGGGGAUGGACUCGCGGCUUAUCAGCUUGUUGGUGGGGUAGUGGCUUACCAAGGCUUUGACGGGUAGCCGGCCUGAGAGGGUGACCGGCAACAUUGGGACUGAGAUACGGCCCAGACUCAUACGGGAGGCAGAAGUGGGGAAUAUUGCAGAAUGGGCGGAAGCCUGAUGCAGCAACGCCGCGUGCGGGAUGACGGCCUUCGGGUUGUAAACCGCUUUCGCCUGUGACGAAGCGUGAGUGACGGUAAUGGGUAAAGAAGCACCGGCUAACUACGUG
rnacentral:rRNA from 1 species